AUCGCUUCUCGGCCUUUUGGCUAAGAUCAAGUGUAGUAUUUUUAUAUUUGGUUUUGAAAUUUUUAAAAAUAUAUUUUAUUUUGAAAUAAUUUUGGGCUCACAAGAAGUUGCAAAAAUAGUAUAGAGUUCCUAUGUACUCUUCACCCAGUUUCUCCCAGUGAUACUGUCUUACAUCAUCACAGUAUAUUACCUGAACAAGA